rnacentral:rRNA from 1 species
UUGAACGCUGGCGGCAGGCCUAACACAUGCAAGUCGAGCGGAUGAAGGGAGCUUGCUCCUGGAUUCAGCGGCGGACGGGUGAGUAAUGCCUAGGAAUCUGCCUGGUAGUGGGGGAUAACGUCCGGAAACGGGCGCUAAUACCGCAUACGUCCUGAGGUAGAAAGUGGGGGAUCUUCGGACCUCACGCUAUCAGAUGAGCCUAGGUCGGAUUAGCUAGUUGGUGGGGUAAAGGCCUACCAAGGCGACGAUCCGUAACUGGUCUGAGAGGAUGAUCAGUCACACUGGAACUGAGACACGGUCCAGACUCCUACGGGAGGCAGCAGUGGGGAAUAUUGGACAAUGGGCGAAAGCCUGAUCCAGCCAUGCCGCGUGUGUGAAGAAGGUCUUCGGAUUGUAAAGCACUUUAAGUUGGGAGGAAGGGCAGUAAGUUAAUACCUUGCUGUUUUGACGUUACCAACAGAAUAAGCACCGGCUAACUUCGUG